ensembl:lncRNA
CGGCACCACACGCACCGCGCGGGAGAGGGCUCCGGGCCCGGCUACGUUCCCUGCAGCCCGGCGUGACCGCCGCGGUGACCGCGGAUUCGAGCGGCCGCUUCCCCGCAGACCCGAAGCACUCGAAUUUCCGCAGUUUCUGGGGAGCGGCCCUCGCCCCGCUCCGCGGAGGCACGCCGGCCACGACUCCCUUCAUACUUUCCGACAAGUCCCUGCAAGCCGGCCGACGCGCCGCAGCUCCCGCAGGGCACAGCCCGCUCCGCCCGCUGCCCCCCGCGGCCUCCGUGUUUCUCAGCGCCUCCCGAGGCCCCUUCCGAUUCCGUGACUGUGACCCCCCGUUCAUCCACCCCAGCGCUCCUCGCUCGGUGCUCCCGGUACCCGCCGCCCAUUGCUGCCCAUGAUUGCUACUAAUAACCAGCCCUGAAUUCCUGAAAUAUCUGCCCCAUUCCUUCUACAAGGCAACUUCUUUAUGGUCCAUCAUAUGAAAAACACCGGGUCCUAGAAAUACUGCAGGGCAGGAGAAGAAUAACCUCCAAAUGAAUGGCUAGCUCAAACGAAGCGUUGUCAAAAGCCAUCACACUGCAUUCUGCAUGCAUCAUCUGCCGCAUUUCAGCGCCGGCCAAGCUCCUUAGUCAGCUCUCUGAGGGCAGCUAUCAGCAGCACACUGCUGUCCCGUUGGGCCAUGGCUGUGCGCUGACGGCAGCGGGGCCACGGCAGGGAGCAGCAGAGAGGGUCCACCACGGGGUGCAAAGGACAGCCCAGGGACCUCGGUGAUUUUGUACUGGUCCUUCCAAGAACCAAAGUGACUCUUAAGAGCUCACCUCCGAUCAUCAAUAACAAAGAAACAAAAGCUCAGAAGGUUUAUGAAGUGUAGCUAGCGCCGACAAGACGCAGACAGACAGCAACUUGGAAUUGGUUUCUGAUUAUUUUUAUGCUUCAGUUUGGAGAUACAGAAAGACGAGAACUGGAUUGUCUUUACAGUGCACAGGAUGCCGUCUUUCAGAGGAGGGAGCAGGCUCUGCUGGAGCUGAUAAUUCCUUCAGCUCUGGUAAAAGCUUCUUGGUGUACAAAGAGCUUUAUAUUAAGCACUAAUGGAGGUCAUUAGAUGUCGACAUCCAAUCUGGAAGCUUAUCAUAAACACAGAAAGUAACAAAGGUGGUGUUAUUCAGAUAACUUAAGGUUAUCUCAACCGUAACGUAAACCUAUGAUAUUACUUUUGUCAUACGAAGAGGUACAGCCAGCCCUUCACUACCAGAUACCGUGGGUGGCACAACAGCUGUGUGACCUGACAGCUCCCCGUUAGCUCAGCCCGUGGUGGCCCAGCUGACUCUCGGGCCGGCUGGAGCACAGCGUGACACAAACAGCGCCGAAAACAUCCGGUGCUGGCUGACGUCCAGAAGGUGACAUGAUCUCUGUCACACAACGGGGCGCAGAGACACCAAGAGCACCUCUGUUUGAAAGCAGCUCAUUCCCCAAAGGGCAAAUGUAGGGGCUGGACUAGUGAGCCAGCAGGGAGUAACUCCAUCACCUCCGCCGUAUGCUCCAGUAUGUCUGGGUGGUACCUUAUCUUAGAACACGUUUCCUAAUGUCGGUCACUUUACAUUUGUCUACAUUGAAUUUCACGUGCUGCUUUGUCAACACCACCCAGUCUGGCAAUGUUAUCUUUCAUUUCAUCAAUUUGUUCUCUUUCUUUCUAAUACUUCACAGAAUAUCUCAUGUUGGAAGGGACCCACAAAGAUCACCAAAUCCAACCCCUGGCUCCUCACAGACUGCCCAAAAGCAAACCCUAUGUCUGAGAAUGUUGUCCAGACAUUGCCUGAAUUCCAGCACUUGAGGCCAUGCCCACUGCCCUGGGCAGCCCGUUCCAUGCCCACCGCCCCUCUGGUGCAGACCCUUUCCCUAACCCCCAGCUGCCCCUCCCCUCACACAGCUCCAUGCCGUUCCCUCGGGCCCUGUCGCUGUCACACAGAGCAGAGCUCAGCGCUGCCCCUCCGCUCCCUGUGAGGAGCUGCAGCCGCCAUCAGGCCUCCCCUCAGCUCCUCUGUUCUGGGCUGAACCGACCAAGGGACCUCAGCUGCUCCUCACACAUUUUGCCCUCCAGCCCCUUCUCCAUCUUCAUAGCCCUGCUUGGGACACUCUCCAGUAGUUUUAUAUGCCUCUGAUAUUGUGGCACCCGAACUGCACCCAAUGCUGCAGGUGAGGCCACACAGCACAGAGAGGAGCCGGGCAACCCCUCUCCUCACCCAGCUGCAAAGCAUUCUGCUGUGAGAACUUCCCUGGGUUCCUUCACAGGGAGCACAGAGGCGGGACCACAACGGACCAGAUGUCUUCCCAAUGUGUUUCUUUUGUACCACGCUCAUAUCCUGGCCCUGCUGAUGUGCUGUCAGGGGACUUUUUACCGUGCUCUUUGCAAAGUGGCCCUUGGGCAUACUCCUAGUUUGCCUCAGAGCCUUUACCUUUUUCUCCCUUCCCAUCUAAAUGGUAAGACCUGUCAGCUUUGUUUUUUCUCAGCUUUGUUAUACUUCACUGCAUAACGCUUUGAUUCCAUGUCUGUUUUUCAUCCUGCUCUUCAUCACACCACUCUAGGGCAUGCUCACCCCGUUCACUGCUCAAAUCUGGCCCUAGACAGUACCUUUUUGGUCAGUAAAAAAGAGGUGGUGUGGUUCCUCAAUAAACUUCUUCAGAGCUCUGCUGACUGAACUCUAUCACAAACAGCGAAGAGCUGUAAGAUAAGCAGAGUCAUAAGGUCUCCUUUCCUGUAAGGCAGGAAAAGCACACAGUACAGAACAUGAGAAGCAGCAACAGAACAUCUUACAGAGUGAGAUUGUGAACUGUAGCAGAAAAUGUUCUUUCCCAAUAUGCCUUUGAAGUCAUCUCUACUGCCAUUCUUAUCCACAACUGCAAACUGGAGGCAGAUGGCAAUCUCUGCUUUAAUUUCUCAUAGUAUGUGUUGAAAAAUAAAGCUAACUUCCUUCUGUAAGUUUUUAUUUUCCUUUCCAUACUGCACUCCCCCAUCAGUUUGAUUAACAGACUUGGCUGCAAGAGACAAUACCACAUAGUUUGUAGAAACUAUUUGUUUAUUUAUGGUCAAAUGAUAGCAGAGUUCAAGAAGAGUAGAAACACGGACAGAAACCAGAUGAGAAGGUGUGCCCCUAGGACUGAUCUCCAACGCUAACACCUGCUGAUAAAUCUAGCUAUUACACAAAGCUGUUAUUAUCACUUGCAACAUUUCAAAUCAGGACCUAGCACCUAAAACAUUUUAAGGAAUUCAGUAACACAGCAAAUUGUACAAAGUUGGUAUUUCAGCAGAGGAGAGAUUGUCAGAUUUGUAUGAGUUUCCAGACAGAAGCCAGACCAAAGUGCCAUAGCUGACCCACUGACCACAGUGACUCGAAAGAACACCGUUAGCUGUCAGCGUAUUACAGAGGUGAACCUUGCCAGAAGGUUAGCACUGCAGCACUAAGAUCCAUGGAGGGGAAAAGAAGAAUAAUUUAAUUAAAUCCUGGAAGAAAAGUUUGGGAAAUAAAAAGCCACGAUGAUAGGGUAAGCCUCUCAGAUUUAGAUAGCGUGCACAGCUCAGAAGUAACAGAAAGUGGUAUUAAAUUGCAAGGGAUAGCAGUUUAUCCCCUCUCAGACAAAAAUGCAAAAACAACUUGAAACCAGAAAUGAGACAGAGGGCAUCUCUGCGUUAUUCUCCACAGCUUCACUCCUUCACUGGGAUCUGCUACAAAUGAAUCUUCUCUUGGCAGAGGGAAGAAGCCGAGACUUACAGAGCAGCACCGAGACUUACAGAGCAAGUCUUUUGACAGUCUCUGUCAGGGAUGUCCUCUUCUGUUAGAGACAUAACUGGAAAUAAUGAGAGAGUGCAAGGAGGAAGACACUCG